rnacentral:tRNA from 1 species
GCGCUUAUAGCUCAGGGGAUAGAGCGCCGGUCUCCGGAACCGGGUGCGCAGGUUCGAAUCCUGCUAGGCGCACCA